GUGGGGAAUCUUGCGCAAUGGGCGAAAGCCUGACGCAGCCAUGCCGCGUGGAUGAUGAAGGUCUUAGGAUUGUAAAAUCCUUUCACCGGUGAAGAUAAUGACUGUAGCCGGAGAAGAAGCCCCGGCUAACUUCGUGCCAGCAGCCGCGGUAAUACGAAGGGGGCUAGCGUUGCUCGGAUUUACUGGGCGUAAAGGGCGCGUAGGCGGACAUUUAAGGCAGGGGUGAAAUCCCGGGGCUCAACCUCGGAACUGCCUUUGAUACUGGGUGUCUUGAGUAUGAGAGAGGUGUGUGGAACUCCGAGUGUAGAGGUGAAAUUCGUAGAUAUUCGGAAGAACACCAGUGGCGAAGGCGACACACUGGCUCAUUACUGACGCUGAGGCGCGAAAGCGUGGGGAGCAAACAGGAUUAGAUACCCGGGUAGUCC
rnacentral:rRNA from 1 species